AGUGAACGCUGGCGGUAGGCCUAACACAUGCAAGUUGAACGGCAGCACAGUAAGAGCUUGCUCUUACGAGUGGCGAGUGGCGGACGGGUGAGGAAUACAUCGGAAUCUACUUUUUCGUGGGGGAUAACGUAGGGAAACUUACGCUAAUACCGCAUACGACCUACGGGUGAAAGCAGGGGAUCUUCGGACCUUGCGCGAUUGAAUGAGCCGAUGUCGGAUUAGCUAGUUGGCGGGGUAAAGGCCCACCAAGGCGACGAUCCGUAGCUGGUCUGAGAGGAUGAUCAGCCACACUGGAACUGAGACACGGUCCAGACUCCUACGGGAGGCAGCAGUGUGGAAUAUUGGACAAUGGGCGCAAGCCUGAUCCAGCCAUACCGCGUGGGUGAAGAAGGCCUUCGGGUUGUAAAGCCCUUUUGUUGAGAAAGAAAAGCAGCAAAUUAAUACCCCGCUGUUCUGACGGUACCCAAAGAAUAAGCACCGGCUAACUUCGUG
rnacentral:rRNA from 1 species